rnacentral:rRNA from 1 species
CCUACGGGCGGCAGCAGUGAGGAAUAUUGGGCAAUGGACGAGAGUCGGAACCAGCCAAGUAGCGUGAAGGAUGACUGCCCUAUGGGUUGUAAACUUCUUUUAUAAAGGAAUAAAACGAGGCACGUGUGCCUUUUUGCAUGUACUUUAUGAAUAAGGAUCGGCUAACUCCGUGCCAGCAGCCGCGGUAAUACGGAGGAUCCGAGCGUUAUCCGGAUUUAUUGGGUUUAAAGGGAGCGUAGAUGGGUUGUUAAGUCAGUUGUGAAAGUUUGCGGCUCAACCGUAAAAUUGCAAUUGAUACUGGCAGGCUUGAGUACAGUUGAGGUAGGCGGAAUUCGUGGUGUAGCGGUGAAAUGCUUAGAUAUCACGAAGAACCCCGAUUGCGAAGGCAGCUUACUAAACUGUGACUGACAUUGAUGCUCGAAAGUGUGGGUAUCAAACAGGAUUAGAUACCCUGGUAGUC